AUGGCCGAGGCGCACCACCACCAGCAUCACCACAACGAUAGCUACAUCAAGCCCCCCAAGCAUGAUUUCCCGCGUUUCGACGGCAGUGCGUCGUACCUCUGGCUCGACCGCUGUCGGGCGUACUUCGAACUCUAUCAUGUGCCGCCGUCGAGCUGGGUGACCAUGGUGACACUAUAUAUCAACGGAGAAGCGGCUCACUGGCUACAGGCGUUUCACCAAACACAUGGUGGCCUCGCUUGGGAGGCGUUCUGUGCAGCGAUUACUGAAGAAUUUGGCGUCGAUGAGUUUGAGAUGGAGAUGAACAAACUGCUGCAACUCCGUCAAAGCGGCAUCGUCAGCGAGUACCGCAAGGAAUUCGACACCCACAUGUAUCAUCUGCUGGCGCUCGAUCCGUCGCUCAAUAUCAAAUUCUUCAUCACCAAGUUCGUGUUGGGACUCAAGGACGAGUUACGCGCUGCGGUCCGGCUUCAGGCACCCAACAGCAUAACGCGCGCCUCGAUUCUGGCACGAAUCCAAGAGGAGGAACUCAGCAUGCCCAGGGCGCGCCCAUGA
rnacentral:rRNA from 1 species